AUACCAACAAAAGGUGUUGAUUCAUCUGACAGUUGGACAGUGGCCAUGGAAGUCGGAAUCUGCUAAGGAGUGUGUAACAACUCACCAACCGAAUGAAUUAGCCCCUAGAAAAUGGAUGGCGCUUAAACGUAUUACUUAUACUUUACCAUUAGAAUAAAUGCUAAAAUUCUAAUGAGUAGGAGGGCGUAUGGAUAAUUUAGAAGACUGAUAGUGAUAUUGGUUGGAAUUAUCUUUAGUGCAGAUCUUGGUGGUAGUAGCAAAUAUUCAAUAGAGAACAUUGAAGACUGAAGUGGAGAAAGGUUUCACAUGAACAACACUUGGAUGUGAGUUAGUCGAUCCUAAACGGUGGGUUAACUCCAAAUACAUGAAUACUUGUAUUCUGUACCGUGAAAGGGAAACAGGUUAAUAUUCCUGUACUAUAUCAAGGAG
rnacentral:rRNA from 1 species